rnacentral:rRNA from 1 species
AUAAGCCUCGAGGAGCUGGCAAACGAGCUGUGAUCCGAGGGUGUCCGAAUGGGGAAACCCGGCUGGAGUCAUGUCCAGUCACCCACGUCUGAACACAUAGGGCGUGUGGAGGGAACGCGGGGAAGUGAAACAUCUCAGUACCCGCAGGAAGAGAAAACAAGAGUGAUUCCGUGAGUAGUGGCGAGCGAAAGCGGAUGAGGCUAAACCGGUCGCGUGUUCAAGCGGACAGGCGUUGCGUGGUCGGGGUUGUGGGACCCUUCUGAUCCAACUGUUCUUGGGUCGGGGAGUGAGAAAAUCGCGUCAUAGUCGAAGGGCCUUGAAUGGUCUGGCAUAGAGGGUGGUACCCCCGUAGACGAAAUGGCGUGGUCUCCUGAGGGUGUUCCCGAGUAGCACGGGGCCCGUGAAAUCUCGUGUGAAUCUGGCAGGACCACCUGCUAAGCCUAAAUACUCCCUGGUGACCGAUAGCGGACAAGUACCGUGAGGGAAAGGUGAAAAGUACCCCGGGAGGGGAGUGAAAUAGUACCUGAAACCGUGUGCCUACAAUCCGUCG